rnacentral:tRNA from 1 species
AGUAUGAGCCUAUACUUAAGGGAUAUCUUGAUGUGAUAUAAUUUGUAAAAUUUACUCAUACUA